rnacentral:rRNA from 1 species
CCUACGGGGGGCUGCAGUGGGGAAUAUUGGACAAUGGGCGAAAGCCUGAUCCAGCGACGCCGCGUGAGUGAAGAAGUAUUUCGGUAUGUAAAGCUCUAUCAGCAGGGAAGAAAAUGACGGUACCUGACUAAGAAGCCCCGGCUAACUACGUGCCAGCAGCCGCGGUAAUACGUAGGGGGCAAGCGUUAUCCGGAUUUACUGGGUGUAAAGGGAGCGUAGACGGUUUAGCAAGUCUGAAGUGAAAGCCCGGGGCUCAACCCCGGUACUGCUUUGGAAACUGUUAGACUUGAGUGCAGGAGAGGUAAGUGGAAUUCCUAGUGUAGCGGUGAAAUGCGUAGAUAUUAGGAGGAACACCAGUGGCGAAGGCGGCUUACUGGACUGUAACUGACGUUGAGGCUCGAAAGCGUGGGGAGCAAACAGGCUUAGAUACCCGAGUAGUC